rnacentral:rRNA from 1 species
UACGGGGGGAGCAAGCGUUGUUCGGAUUUACUGGGCGUAAAGGGCGCGUAGGCGGUCAGCACAAGUCAGUUGUGAAAUCUCCGGGCUUAACUCGGAAAGGUCAACUGAUACUGUGCGACUAGAGUGCGGAAGGGGCAACUGGAAUUCUCGGUGUAGCGGUGAAAUGCGUAGAUAUCAGGAGGAACACCAAUGGCGAAGGCAGCUCGCUGGGACGGUACUGACGCUGAGACGCGAAAGCGUGGGGAGCAAACAGG